GACGAACGCUGGCGGCGUGCUUAACACAUGCAAGUCAAGGGGGACCCGGUGGCAACAUCGGGUAACCGGCGAACGGGUGCGUAACACGUGAGCAAGCUUCCGAUUUGUGGGGGAUAGCCGGCCCAACGGCCGGGUAAUACCGCAUACGAUCACCGGGCGGCAUCGUCUGGUGAGGAAACCUCCGGGGCAAAUCGAGGCGCUCGCGGCCUAUCAGCUAGUUGGCGGGGUAACGGCCCACCAAGGCUAUGACGGGUAGCUGGUCUGAGAGGAUGGCCAGCCACAUUGGGACUGCGACACGGCCCAGACUCCUACGGGAGGCAGCAGUGGGGAAUAUUGCGCAAUGGACGAAGUCUGACGCAGCGACGCCGCGUGUGGGAUGAAGCC
rnacentral:rRNA from 1 species